rnacentral:rRNA from 1 species
CAGUCGCCACGGUAAUACAGAGGGUGCGAGCGUUAAUCGGAUUUACUGGGCGUAAAGCGUGCGUAGGCGGCUUCUUAUGUCGGAUGUGAAAUCCCUGAGCUUAACUUAGGAAUUGCAUUCGAUACUGGGAAGCUAGAGUAUGGGAGAGGAUGGUAGAAUUCCAGGUGUAGCGGUGAAAUGCGUAGAGAUCUGGAGGAAUACCGAUGGCGAAGGCAGCCAUCUGGCCUAAUACUGACGCUGAGGUACGAAAGCAUGGGGAGCAAACAGGAUUAGAUACCCCCGUAGUCCCUGUCUCUUAUAA